AAAUUGAAGAGUUUGAUCAUGGCUCAGAUUGAACGCUGGCGGCAGGCCUAACACAUGCAAGUCGAGCGGUAGCACAGAGAGCUUGCUCUCGGGUGACGAGCGGCGGACGGGUGAGUAAUGUCUGGGAAACUGCCUGA
rnacentral:rRNA from 2 species